rnacentral:rRNA from 1 species
UACGAAGGGUGCAAGCGUUACUCGGAAUUGCUGGGCGUAAAGCGUGCGUAGGUGGUGAGUUAAGUCUGUCGUGAAAGCCCCGGGCUCAACCUGGGAAUGGCGAUGGAUACUGGCUCGCUAGAGUGCGGUAGAGGAGAGUGGAAUUCCCGGUGUAGCAGUGAAAUGCGUAGAGAUCGGGAGGAACAUCAGUUGCGAAGGCGGCUCUCUGGACCAGCACUGACACUGAGGCACGAAAGCCAGGGGAGCAAACGGG